GACGAACGCUGGCGGCGUGCUUAACACAUGCAAGUCGAACGGAAAGGCCCAGCUUGCUGGGUACUCGAGUGGCGAACGGGUGAGUAACACGUGGGUGAUCUGCCCUGCACUCUGGGAUAAGCCUGGGAAACUGGGUCUAAUACCGGAUAUGACCGACUGUCGCAUGGUGGUUGGUGGAAAGCUUUUGCGGUGUGGGAUGGGCACGCGGCCUAUCAGCUUGUUGGUGGGGUAAUGGCCUACCAAGGCGACGACGGGUAGCCGACCUGAGAGGGUGAUCGGCCACACUGGGACUGCGACACGGCCCAGACUCCUACGGGAGGCAGCAGUGGGGAAUAUUGCACAAUGGGCGCAAGCCUGAUGCAGCGACGCCGCGUGAGGGAUGACGGCCUUCGGGUUGUAAACCUCUUUCACCUGGGACGAAGCGUGAGUGACGGUACCUGGAGAAGAAGCACCGGCCAACUACGUG
rnacentral:rRNA from 1 species